ensembl:lincRNA
AUGUUGGAGGGAAAGGCUUUCCAGUCCCAAGGCUUUUACUUUGAGCAAGGGACACUGGGACGUCUUGAACUCCAGUCACCAGCUAUGGUUUGGACAAGAGGUCUGAGGAAUCUAGUAGGAAACAGGCCUUGGGCUCAAAUCCAGGGCAGAUCAACCAUGUCUCUUCCAGAUUCAGUCCUUCACAGACAACCAGAUGUCAGAGACCACCCUCCUCAGUCAUUAAGACCAAACAUGAACUUCUCCGAAGUUACCAACAAAUUUCCAGAAAUGACCUCUCCCCAAGUGGGGUCCAGCAUCUCAAGGCUUUCAUCCCACCAGCUGAGCAACCUCAGAGGGGAAAGAAGAACCUUGUUCCCAGUAGUUCUAGAAAAACUUCAAGAACUGAGUCUCAUUGGACUGGCUUGGGCCACCAGCUCAUCCCUGACCCACUGGGACCAGGACAGCAGCUGGUUGGGUUUGUCUUAAAUCUAGGCAGGUAAAACCCACAUGGAUUGGGAGUGUUAAAGAAGGGGUUUCCCAAAGGCAAAUAAGGAUAUAUAUAUAUAUUUUUCACCAGAGGGUGCUUGGCUAACAACAACCAUAGUGGGGCAAGACGGAACACGUGGGAUCUAGCCUUCUGCCAGAAUUUUCUUCUCCCUCUUAAAAAUUUCUGAUAAUGAUGCCACCUUAAGUCCACCUGAAGAAAUUAUGAUUCCAUAGGUCUGAGGUAGAGUCCAGAAAUUGUAUUUUUACGAAGUGCCCCACCCCCCCGCCCACGCCGACCCAGGGUGGUUCUGCUGAGCCGAGCAGUUUAGGAACUACUAACUAAUCCAGUGGACAACUUUCUUACUCUUCUCCACACUCAAAAUCAAAAGUGAGUCUAUGUGGGGCUCUAGCUUAUAAAGUUAGAACUGCUUUUUUUAUGCUCAGAGGAGGUGAAAAUAAAGGAUUGUCUUUAUAUUUUGAGAUCAGGGAGAUGGAAGUGUAAAUUAAUGAACGUGUUUCACAGCCCAUCCCCCACCUGUCCCUCAUUCCAGACAAGUAGGAGAUGAACAGAAGUGUCUCCUACGAUGUUGGGCCAGUUAACAGACCCACUGGGGCUCUUCACGAGUGCACAGUAACACAUUACACCUCCUGCUCCAAGGGUGGGAGUCUGUCACUGCAAGCAGGGACUUGCUGAGGCCCUGGUCUGCCCUGCAAAUGGUGUUUAUCAUCAUCCCAGCAUGGGGUCAGACAGGGAAGGCCAUGGGCUGGGGAGAACCCAGUAAGAGACGGCGAAACUGGAACUUAGUUAACUUGAUUUUGACUCCCUGCCAGUAGGUGCUUACCCUUGAGAAUUCAGGACAAGCCGGAGAUUAGCUACGGUGGUGGAAGGUGGGGGUGGGGGUGGGGUGGGGGGAUGGGCAGAUUAGCUCACUGGUCCAAUCCCAUCCUCCCUAGCUGAUCACAGGACACCGGUCAGUUUACUAGUAUUACUGCUCAUGUCUCUAUCAUCUCUGUUGUAUGUUCUUUGAAAGCUGAAGUCCUACCUCACAUUUUUUUUUUCCUGGUCCCAGCACGUAGCCCGGGACCUCAUAGGCUACAAUUUCUCAAGCAGUAUUUGCUAAUGCAGAUUUUAUAACUUUGCAGAACACUUUCUCAAAAGCCCUUGAAAACUGAAACUGACUACGUGGAGUCUCUAGAGCUUUGGAAAGACAGCAGGGAUAAGAGGAGUAUCCAGAGCGUGCCCCCUGAAAAAACACAGUCAGAACACGGGGCCAGGACGGUGCCUGGCACACAGCAGACACACAGAGGCUCACACACCCACCCACCCCCCACACACAAUUUUUAAAAAAGAUUUUAUUUAUUUGAGAGAGCCAGUGUGAGCGAGAGGAGAGCAGGGGCGAGGGGCAGAGGGAGAGGGAGAAGCAGGCUCCCCGCUGAGCAGAAAACCAGAUGCAGGGCCUGAUCCCAGGACCCUCGAAUCAUGACAUGGGCUGAAGGCAGACGCUUCACGAACUGAGCCACCCAAGAGCAUUGAGGUUCACCAAAUUAAUGAGGCCCACACUGGACCAGAGAAGGGGACAAGUACCUGGUAUGCUGCCAGGACUUCGGGACCUCAGGAAUCAAAUCAAGCCACCGGCCCCGCCCCAAGGGACAGUCCGAGUAAGAUAGCCACCAGUACAAUAGCCAAAAAGAAAGAAUGGUGUCAAUUUUGGUCUCAACCAAACCCAAAGUAAUGAUGGUACUAUCCUGACAGUAAUGAAGAAUGUUCUUAUGAGGAAAAAACAAAACCAAACAAAACAUGAUAAAGGGACAGGUCAAGCGAACCUCUCCUGUUCCGUAAAAAUAAUGGUGAGAAUGUAAUUUGUAAUAACCCACAUUUAUGAACACCAAGCACCAUGCCCACAGAAUAUACAAGCAUUGUGGGGCAUUGUGAAAGUCAAUAAAAUCUUUUUUUUUUUUCAAGAUUUUAUUUAUUUAUUUAUUUGAGAGAGAGAGCUGGAGAAAGAGAUCACGAUCAUGGGGGAGGGGCAGACGCCCCGCUGAGCAGAGAGCCCCCUGUGAGCCUUGAUCCCAGGGUCGUGGGACCAUGACCUGAGCCAAAGUCAGAUGCUUAACCGACUGAGCCACCUAGGUGCCCAGAUCAGUAAAAUCUUACAACACUUCUGUGAUGUUCUACUUUUAUAGACCUCAAAAGAAUUAAGAAAUUGUCCCAAGUCUCCCAGACCUGCAUGACUCUAGGGCCCACAUAGGAACCCCCAUACUAUCUGUCUCUUUUAAGGUGACAAAUAUAUUCUGUGCUAUUUAUGAAGGAGUAAGAUCUAUUUUUCACCUCCCUCUGCCAACAGAGGAAUCUGGCCAGAAAGCCCCUUACUCAAUCCCCAAAGAGGCCUGGACCCCAGGGCUCUGACUCUCUCAAGAGACAGCUGCUAGGGGCGCCUACGUGGCUCAGUGGGUUAAAGCCUCUGCCUUCGGCUCAGGUCAUGAUCCCAGGGUCCUGGGAUCCCACAUCAGGCUCUCUGCUCAGCAGGGAGCCUGCUUCCUCCUCUCUCUCUCUCUCUGCCUGCCUCUCUGCCUACUUGUGAUCUCUGUCAAACAAAUAAAUAAAAAUCUUAAAAAAGAAAAAAAAGAGAGAGAGCUUCUAGAACUCCAGGGCCCCUGAAGAAGUCCUGUAUUCUGAGAUAAGAAAGGCUGUCAUGGUCACGACUAGAGUCUAUGGACCAAACACCAAGCAGGGGUUGUCGGGGCAGAAGGAAGCCCACCUUGGGGCAGAGGGGCAAAGGCUGUGUGUGGAUCCAGGGAACAUCUGACCUCGAGUUCUCAAAGGCCUUCUUUUCCCCAACAGUCUCCAAGAGCAGGGUUUUGAGACCUCCCUGGGACUAGGCCAGGGUGGAGGGAAGCCCCCACCUCAGGGUACAGGGGUCUUUGCCCACAGAGUGGAAGGGAGACAUAGGAGGACAAGGAAAGGGACCUGGAACGAGAUGAAGACCCAGUCACAGGAGCAGUUUCCCCGCAGCCACCUGCCUAGUUGAGAUGGAAACACUGAUUCCAGCUCCAGCCCCCAGACAGGCUAAGAAUAUCCCAGAAAAGCAACAGCCACCACCCCCGCCCUUCUUGAUCUGCUCCUACAUCUGGAGUGCUAUGCUGGGUACCCGCAGGGGCAGGGAGGAGACAGAGUGGGGGGUGAUGUUUGUGGUGGGCACGAAAGGGAGGAGGGGCGAAAGGGCUUGGCGGGGGCAGGACAAAAUGGACUAAGAAAUAAAGCUCCUGAAGGGAGCUGGAAGGAUUGGAAGGAGAAAGCUGGGCUCAGGUGGAGACCACGGAGGUGAAAGCAGGAGUGGGGGCACUGGGGAGAGAAGAUCCAGGGGUAAGGAUGAGGGGGGUUGACACUGCUAACCUGAAAGGGAGACCAAGGCUGUAUUAAGGAAGGAGGCAGAGCCUACGGAAAGGAAAAGGAGCCCUCCAACCCCUAAUCCAGCAUCUCAGCAUCAUUCCGCCUCUCCCUGCCCCAGGGCACUUCUUCCUCAACUAUGCUUUCCACUCCCUUCUCUGUUCUAAGAAACCUCCAUUUGGCCUCCUCGAUUAAGUCCUUCUGGCAAGGAGCCUGCUUCAGUGGGAAGGAUGGGAGAACGUGGGGCAGUAUCUCUGCUUCUUCUGACCGUGGGCAGUAUCUCCUUUGUCAAGUUCAUCUCUUCUCUCUGCUCGUCCCCCUUCCCCACUCCCCACUGUCUCCUGGGGAAGAGUUUUCCCUCCACUGCCUCUUGGGGCCUUGCUUCCCUCCACCCCAGCUCUUCUGUUCUAAGGUCUUUGGGAGAGGGAAGGAAGGCCGGGCAGGUGCAUAUCCCCCCCCCCUUUGCACACCUCAGGAGCUGAGACCCUGAGGUGGGGAUCCUGGCUCAGAGAAGGGGUGCAAGCAGCAGGACCAAGCAUUCAGAUGUCCAGGCUGGGUCUCCACGCUGGCUGUUCUAAGAACCUUCCUUGUCAUCAGCCUCUGUGUAGGGGUCCCUUGGGGACAUAGGAUGCCAUGACUGUAGGUUGUGGGUCCUCCAGCCUUAAUGUCUACUAGGGAGACCCUGGACCACCUUGGCAUCCUGUCCUUUGCCUCCAAACUUUACAGGGGCCCCAUUAAAGUCUGGAGGGACCUAGGGAGAUUUGCAUGACUGUGAGCCUGAGCAGGCUCCCCUUCCUCUCCCUGGCUAAACCGCAGAAGGACAGGCCUCAGGGAUGCCGUGCACAAACAAACCUGAGCCCAUCAGGCAGAAACAGACUAGGGAGAACCACA